CGGAGGAUCCAAGCGUUAUCCGGAAUCAUUGGGUUUAAAGGGUGCGUAGGCGGAAUAGUAAGUCAGUGGUGAAAUCCUGUCGCUUAACGACAGAACUGCCAUUGAUACUGCUAAUCUUGAGUACAUUUGAAGUGGGCGGAAUGUGUAGUGUAGUGGUGAAAUACUUAGAUAUUACACAGAACACCGAUUGCGAAGGCAGCUCACUAAACUGUAACUGACGCUGAGGCACGAAAGCGUGGGGAUCAAACAGGAUUAGAUACCCUGGUAGUCCACGCUGUAAACGUUGAUAACUCGUUGUUGGCGAUAUACUGUCAGCGACUAAGCGAAAGUGAUAAGUAAUCCACCUGGGGAGUACGCCGGCAACGGUG
rnacentral:rRNA from 1 species